rnacentral:snoRNA from 1 species
UGAUUGUGAUGAUAUCGCUUCCACGAAACAUUCGCGGUUUCCGCCGGAGGACCUUUCGGGGUCUGGUGAUGGCUUGGCGGAUGUCUGAAUUG